rnacentral:rRNA from 1 species
UACAUAGGGGGCAAGCGUUAUUCGGAAUUAUUGGGCGUAAAGGGCGCGUAGGCGGCUUUGCAAGUGACGGGUGAAAUCCCUCGGCUUAACCGAGGAACUGCCUGUCAGACUGCAUGGCUCGAGACCAGGAGAGGUGAGUGGAAUUCCCAGUGUAGCGGUGAAAUGCGUAGAUAUUGGGAGGAACACCAGUGGCGAAGGCGGCUCACUGGACUGGUACUGACGCUGAUGCGCGAAAGCGUGGGGAGCAAACAGG